CAAUGGCAAUAGUUGAAGCUGCCAGCAUGAUCUAAUCAACUUUGAGUUUUCAGUCCAAGGUAAGAUUAGAUCAUGUGGUUGCUUCACCCGUUGUUAGU
rnacentral:pre_miRNA from 1 species